UACGAAGGGGGCUAGCGUUGCUCGGAAUGACUGGGCGUAAAGGGCGCGUAGGCGGUUUGUACAGUCAGAUGUGAAAUUCCCGGGCUCAACCUGGGGGCUGCAUUUGAUACGUGCGGACUUGAGUGGGGAAGAGGGUCGUGGAAUUCCCAGUGUAGAGGUGAAAUUCGUAGAUAUUGGGAAGAACACCGGUGGCGAAGGCGGCGACCUGGUCCUUGACU
rnacentral:rRNA from 1 species